rnacentral:rRNA from 1 species
AUGCCUAGCGACAAGGCGCCUGGGCCGGAUGGCUUCACCGGCCUCUUCUUCAAGAAGUGUUGGGGCAUCAUCAAGCACGACCUCAUGAGGGUGAUUCAAUGCUUUGACUCCCUCCACACAACAAAUCUUCACUGGCUCAAUUCUGCGAAUGUUGUGCUGCUUCCCAAGAAGGAUGGGGCGGAGAGCAUCGUCGAUUAUAGACCCAUCAGCCUCAUUCAUGGAAUCGCCAAGAUCAUUGCAAAAGUGCUCUCCAUAAGGCUUGGACCGCAUAUGUCCACCCUCGUCUCCAACGCUCAAAGUGCUUUCAUCAAAACACGGAGCAUCCACGACAACUUCAUGUAUGUUCGAAACCUCGCGCGGCGCCUUCACAAGAGCAAGACCCCCUCCCUGCUAUUCAAGUUGGACAUUCGCAAGGCCUUUGACUCUGUCAAAUGGGAGUAUUUGCUUGACCUCCUUCGGAGACGAGGUUUCCCAAGCAAAUUUCGAGAG